AAGUCGUAACAAGGUUUCCGUAGGUGAACCUGCGGAAGGAUCAUUACCUAGAGUUGUAGGCUUUGCCUGCUAUCUCUUACCCAUGUCUUUUAAGUACCUUACGUUUCCUCGGCGGGUCCGCCCGCCGAUUGGACAAUUUAAACCAUUUGCAGUUGCAAUCAGCGUCUGAAAAAACUUAAUAGUUACAACUUUCAACAACGGAUCUCUUGGUUCUG
rnacentral:misc_RNA from 1 species